UACGUAGGGUGCAAGCGUUAAUCGGAAUUACUGGGCGCAAAGCGUGCGCAGGCGGUUGUGCAAGACAGAUGUGAAAUCCCCGGGCUCAACCCGGGAAUUGCAUUUGUGACUGCACGGCUAGAGUGUGUCAGAGGGGGGUAGAAUUCCACGUGUAGCAGUGAAAUGCGUAGAGAUGUGGAGGAAUACCGAUGGCGAAGGCAGCCCCCCUGGGAUAACACUGACGCUCAUGCACGAAAGCGUGGGGAGCAAACAGG
rnacentral:rRNA from 1 species